rnacentral:rRNA from 1 species
AUUGAACGCUGGCGGCAUGCUUUACACAUGCAAGUCGAACGGUAACAGGCCGCAAGGUGCUGACGAGUGGCGAACGGGUGAGUAAUGCAUCGGAACGUGCCCAGUCGUGGGGGAUAACGCAGCGAAAGCUGUGCUAAUACCGCAUACGACCUAUGGAUGAAAGCGGGGGACCGUAAGGCCUCGCGCGAUUGGAGCGGCCGAUGUCAGCUUAGGUAGUUGGUGGGGUAAAGGCGCACCAAGCCAACGAUCUGUAGCUGGUCUGAGAGGACGACCAGCCACACUGGGACGGAGAAACGGCCCAGACUCCGACAGGAGGCAGCAGUGGGGAAUUUUGGAAAAUGGGCGCAAGCCUGAUCCAGCAAUGCCGCGUGCAGGAAGAAGGCCUUCGAGUUGUCAACUGCUUUUGUACGGAACGAAAAGGUUUGGGUUAAUACCCUGGGCCGAUGACGGUACCGUAAGAAUAAGCACCGGCUAACUACGUGCCAGCCGCCGCAGUAA